UACGUAGGAGAACGAGCGUUGUCCGGAGUUACUGGGCGGUAAAGGGUGCGCAGGUGGCUGUGCGCGUGGGGGGUGAAAUCGCCCGGCUUAACUGGGCGGGGGCCUUCAGACGGCGUAGCUUGAGCAGCGGAGGGGGACGUGGAAUUCCGGGUGUAGCGGUGGAAUGCGUAGAGAGUCCGGAAGAACACCGGUGGCGAAGGCGGUUAGCUGGACGGUU
rnacentral:rRNA from 1 species